rnacentral:rRNA from 1 species
UACGGAGGGUGCAAACGUUGCUCGGAAUCAUUGGGCGUAAAGCGCACGUAGGCGGUUCGCUAUGUCGGAUGUGAAAGCCCUCGGCUUAACCGAGGAAGGGCAUCCGAAACUGGCGAGCUUGAGUACGGAAGAGGGUCUCGGAAUUCCCGGUGUAGAGGUGAAAUUCGUAGAUAUCGGGAGGAACACCAGUGGCGAAGGCGGAGACCUGGGCCGAUACUGACGCUGAGGUGCGAAAGCGUGGGGAGCAAACAGG